rnacentral:rRNA from 1 species
UAGAGUCUGAUAGGGGAAGUUAGAAUUCCUGGUGUAAGGGUGGAAUCUGUUGAUAUCAGGAAGAAUACCAGAGGCGAAAGCGAACUUCUAGGUCAAGACUGACGCUGAGUCACGAAAGCGUAGGGAGCAAACAGGAUUAGAUACCCUGGUAGUCUACGCUGUAAACGAUGCACACUUGGUGUUAAUCGAAAGGUUAGUACCGAAGCUAACGUGUUAAGUGUGCCGCCUGGGGAGUAUGCUCGCAAGAGUGAA